CCUACGGGUGACAGCAGUGAGGAAUAUUGGGCAAUGGACGAGAGUCUGAAGCAGCCAAGUAGCGUGAAGGAUGAAUGCCCUAGGGGUUGUAAACUUCUUUUAUAUGGGAAUAAAAUGUUGCUCGUGGGGGAUUUUGUAUGUCCUAUAUGCAUAAGGAUCGGCUCACUCCGUGCCAGCAGCCGCGGUAAUACGGAGGGUCCGAGCGUUAUCCGGAUUUAUUGGGUUUAAAGGGAGCGUAGGUGGAGUGUUAAGUCAGUUGUGAAAGUUUGCGGCUCAACCGUCAAAUUGCAGUUGAAACUGGCAGUCUUGAGUACAGUAGAGGUGGGCGGAAUUCGUAGUGUAGCGGUGAAAUGCUUAGAUAUCACGAAGAACUCCGAUUGCGAAGGCAGCUCACUGGACUGCAACUGACACUGAGGCUCGAAAGUGUGGGUAUCAAACAGGAUUAGAUACCCCGGUAGUC
rnacentral:rRNA from 1 species